rnacentral:misc_RNA from 1 species
GAUGAAGAACGUAGCGAAAUGCGAUACGUAAUGUGAAUUGCAGAAUUCAGUGAAUCAUCGAAUCUUUGAACGCAUAUUGCGCUCUCUGGUAUUCCGGAGAGCAUGCUUGUUUGAGUAUCAGUAAACACCUCAACUCCCUUUUCUUUUUUGAAAUUGGAGCUGGACUUGAGUGAUCCCAACGCUUUCUUCCAAGAAAGUGGCGGGUUGCUUGAAAUGCAGGUGCAGCUGAACCUUUCUCUGAGCUAUAAGCAUAUCUAUUUAGUCUGCCUAAAAAACAGAUUAUUACCUUUGCUGCAGCUAACAUAAAGGAGACUAGUUCUUGUGCUGACUGAUGCAGGAUUCACAGAGACAGCUUCGGCUGACUUUGUAAACUCGAUCUCAAAUCAAGUAAGACUACCCGCUGAACUUAAGCAUAUCAAUAAGCGGAGGA